AAUAACUCGGCGAAAGUCGGACUAAUACCGUAUGAUAUCCUAUGCAGGCAUCUAAAUAGGAUUAAAGGUUUAGCGGUAAGGGAUGGGGAUGCGUCUGAUUAGGCAGUUGGCGGGGUAACGGCCCACCAAACCGACGAUCAGUAGGGGUUCUGAGAGGAAGGUCCCCCACAUUGGAACUGAUACACGGUCCAAACUACCUACGGGAGGCAGCAGGA
rnacentral:rRNA from 1 species